rnacentral:rRNA from 1 species
AGUAACACGUAAACAACCUGCCUUCAAGAUGGGACAACAGACGGAAACGACUGCUAAUACCGAAUACGAUCCGAAAGUCGCAUGACAUUUGGAUGAAAAGGGUGGCCUAUCGAAGAAGCUAUCGCUUGAAGAGGGGUUUGCGUCCGAUUAGGUAGUUGGUGAGGUAACGGCCCACCAAGCCGACGAUCGGUAGCCGGUCUGAGAGGAUGAACGGCCACACUGGAACUGAGACACGGUCCAGACUCCUACGGGAGGCAGCAGGG